GACGAACGCUGGCGGCGUGCUUAACACAUGCAAGUCGAACGAAGUGGCGAACGGGUGAGUAACGCGUAAUCAACCUGCCCUUCAGAGGGGGACAACAGUUGGAAACGACUGCUAAUACCGCAUAAGGAAGGAGGGGAUUGCGUCUUAUUAGCUAGUUGGAGGGGUAACGGCCCACCAAGGGGAGGAUCAGUAGCCGGUCUGAGAGGAUGAACGGCCACAGUGGGACUGGGACACGGCCCAGACUCCUACGGGAGGCAGCAGUGGGGAAUCUUCCGCAAUGGACGAAAGGCUGACGGAGCAACGCCGCGUGAGUGAUGACGGCCUUCGGGUUGUAAAGCUCUGUUAAUCGGGACGCGGUACCGGAAUAGAAAGCCACGGCUAACUACGUGCCAGCAGCCGCGGUAAUAC
rnacentral:rRNA from 1 species